GACGAACGCUGGCGGCGUGCCUAAUACAUGCAAGUAGAACGCUGAAGGAGGAGCUUGCUCUUCUGGAUGAGUUGCGAACGGGUGAGUAACGCGUAGGUAACCUGCCUGGUAGCGGGGGAUAACUAUUGGAAACGAUAGCUAAUACCGCAUAACAGUAGAUGUUGCAUGACAUUUGCUUAAAAGGUGCAAUUGCACCACUACCAGAUGGACCUGCGUUGUAUUAGCUAGUUGGUGGGGUAACGGCUCACCAAGGCGACGAUACAUAGCCGACCUGAGAGGGUGAUCGGCCACACUGGGACUGAGACACGGCCCAGACUCCUACGGGAGGCAGCAGUAGGGAAUCUUCGGCAAUGGACGGAAGUCUGACCGAGCAACGCCGCGGGAGGGAAGAAGGUUUUCGGAUCGUAAAGCUCUGUUGUAAGAGAAGAACGAGUGUGAGAGUGGAAAGUUCACACUGUGACGGUAUCUUACCAGAAAGGGACGGCUAACUACGUG
rnacentral:rRNA from 1 species